GCUUACGGCCACACCACGCUGGGCACGCCCGAUCUCGUUUGCUCUCGGAAGCCAAUCAGCAUCGGGCCUGGUUAGUACUUGGACGGAAGACUGCCUGGGAAUACCAGGUUAGGGUUAGGA
rnacentral:rRNA from 1 species